UCCGACUCAAUCCCCUUCGAUCCACGUGGGAAAAAAAAUCCCAAACCGAGGCUGGGAACGAAGCCGUCGUGUCGCUCUCCUCUCUCUCUCUCUCGCAUGUCGCUCUCCUCUCUCUCUCUCUCUCGCACGUCGCUUCACCCUUACUCUGGUGUCGCUUCUCUUGACUCCGCCGCCGACUGUGGUCUAGGUGGGGAGUUCCUUUUCUAUCCUCGCCGACGCGCACGGCGGACUAAAGCCUCCUCUCUCGGCCAAGCUGCCAGCUUCAUUAGUGGUCUCCCGCCAUUGCUGAGGUACUCCCAAACCUUGGAGCUCUGCUUAUACUCCAAGGUCCCCUAAGGCAACUCGGCCUUCAGCGAGUCCCGAACUUCCAACGGCCUUAUCCUCCGUCUCUCCGGGACCAGGGCUGCGGCGCUACGUGCAGAGACGUGGUUGCGCGUGUCCAGUGCACGUACCACUUCGAAGUGCGCGACAGCAACCAUUCAUCGGCGCUCUACAACACUAAGGUCUUGAGCAGCAACUCAAGUUCUUCAACACUCUUUGGUGACCAUUCCUCAUGGUCAAUGAUGGGCAAAAUGGUAAAACUUGUGGUGGAGAUACUAGUUAUCGUGUUGAAUUAUUAAAGCUUGCUAGCUUGAAACAACUUCUGCUGAUCUUCUAGAUUUGAAAUUACUCUUUUGUGACCACAUCUCAUCGAGCAAUUCCACUCACAGAACUUACAGUAAGAGCAGAUUAUAGUUUCUGAUAGUCAACUACUCUGCCUUAGCAAUGUCAAUCUUAGCUGACAGAUUAUUUUGGCUGUUGUUUGCAUUCUUCCAAGAGAAUUUAUGCUUUCGAAAUUGACCAUGUUUGGUGAGUAUGUGUUGUGUUUAUCAGUUCGAAUAUUUUUUAUGAUCUUAUAUUACUUGACACGUUAACUUGUAAGAUAUGUUAAAUGCCUAGCCAUGCAAGAGUCACAUGCUUUUAGUUUUUCUGUAUAUUUUUGUCAUGUACACAUCGGAAUCGCAGAGAGACAAAGGCAUGCCUCAACCACUAGCUGGAGACCAAGAAUACAUGUCUAACCCAAGUCAAUCCAAGCAAAUCCCAAAUAUGCAAUCAAGCAAGGACUAAUCCCAAGGUGGGUGGGAGGGGAUUGGGUGGUGGGAAGGGAUUAACCCAAUUCCCCUUUCGGUUGUUUCUCCAAGGGAUUAUGUCCUUCGCUUGCCAAACAAGCCCUAAUGGUGCCCAGGGUGACAUCAUUGCCGAUCACUACCUCCUCUGCAUCGAUCUAGUGAACAUACGCUCACAUGUUCCCACCACACUGGAUUUCACUAACUAAAACUACACACAGUGGAGGACAUUCUUCGACACCUCGGCAAGUUUGUGCUUGGCACCCACAUCAAGGCCCUGCUGAUCCACAGUGGGUCAUGAUCGAUUAUAUCUUGGACAUCUUGAUGAAGCCAAACGACAACACCUAUAAUGUUUGGCGUGCCAUCGAGAGACUGUUAUGAGACAAUCGGCUCACAUGCGCCGUCUACAUCGAGGACGAAUUCCAUAGUCAAUAUCAAGGUGAGAUGACCAUUAUGUAGUGCUGCUCUCGAUUGAAGACUCUCGCAGAUGCCUUGCAUGAUGUUGGCCAACUUGUGCGCAAAGAAAACCACGUGCUCAACUUCUUGUGUGGGCUGAACUCAAGUUCUGCCACGUAAUAUCUGUUUGAUGAGGGCAUUACCGGCUCACAUAUGACCAUGCCUAUAUUAUACAAUAACAAAACUAAGGUGCAUGUAUUCUAUUUUAGAUUUACCUUUUAUAUAAUUGAGCAAAGGGUGAUGUACCGUGAGUUGUGUAUGUUUUCAUUUUCAGAAGUGUUGGCAUGGAUUAAUGUAAAGGAAAUGGAGGAUAAAUGAAGUUGCUUGGGGACCGAGU